rfam:Trichosporon oleaginosus strain IBC0246 unplaced genomic scaffold CC85scaffold_31, whole genome shotgun sequence.
GGGGGUGUAGCUCAGUGGUAGAGCGUCUCAUUUGCAUUGGCAAUUCAACUUCAAAAGCGAGUUGAGAAGGCCUGGAGUUCAAUCCUCCACUCCUCCA